UACGUAGGGUGCAAGCGUUAAUCGGAAUUACUGGGCGUAAAGCGUGCGCAGGCGGCUUUGCAAGACAGACGUGAAAUCCCCCGGCUUAACCUGGGAACUGCGUCUGAUACUGGGAGGCUCGAGUAUGGGAGAGGGAUGUAGAAUUCCAGGUGUAGCGGUGAAAUGCGUAGAUAUUGGGAGGAACACCAGUGGCGAAGGCGGCUCACUGGACCGGAACUGACGCUGAGGCGCGAAAGCGUGGGGAGCAAACAGG
rnacentral:rRNA from 1 species